GACGAACGCUGGCGGCGUGCUUAACACAUGCAAGUCGAACGGAAAGGCCCUGCCUUUGUGGGGUGCUCGAGUGGCGAACGGGUGAGUAACACGUGAGUAACCUGCCCUUGACUUUGGGAUAACUUCAGGAAACUGGGGCUAAUACCGGAUAGGUGCUCCUGCUGCAUGGUGGGGGUUGGAAAGUUUCGGCGGUUGGGGAUGGACUCGCGGCUUAUCAGCUUGUUGGUGGGGUAGUGGCUUACCAAGGCUUUGACGGGUAGCCGGCCUGAGAGGGUGACCGGCCACAUGGGGACUGAGAUACGGCCCAGACUCCUACGGGAGGCAGCAGUGGGGAAUAUUGCACAAUGGGCGGAAGCCUGAUGCAGCAACGCCGCGUGCGGGAUGACGGCCUUCGGGUUGUAAACCGCUUUCGCCUGUGACGAAGCGUGAGUGACGGUAAUGGGUAAAGAAGCACCGGCUAACUACGUG
rnacentral:rRNA from 1 species